GCGCCGAUAGUCUAAUGGCUAGGAUAUGAAAGCUAUGCUGUAUAGGCUUCCCAAGCUCACGAUCCGGGUUCGAAUCCCGGUCGGCGCA
rnacentral:tRNA from 1 species